UACGGGGGGGGCAAGCGUUGUUCGGAAUUACUGGGCGUAAAGGGCUCGUAGGCGGCCAACUAAGUCAGACGUGAAAUCCCUCGGCUUAACCGGGGAACUGCGUCUGAUACUGGAUGGCUUGAGUUUGGGAGAGGGAUGCGGAAUUCCAGGUGUAGCGGUGAAAUGCGUAGAUAUCUGGAGGAACACCGGAGGCGAAGGCGGCAUCCUGGACCAACACUGACGCUGAGGAGCGAAAGCCAGGGGAGCAAACGGG
rnacentral:rRNA from 1 species